rnacentral:rRNA from 1 species
CUACGGGGUGCACCAGUGGGGAAUAUUGGACAAUGGGGGAAACCCUGAUCCAGCAAUGCCGCGUGUGUGAAGAAGGCCUGCGGGUUGUAAAGCACUUUCGGUUGGGAGGACUGCUUCUAGCACUAAUAUUGUUGGAAGUUGACGUUACCUUCAGAAGAAGCACCGGCUAACUCGCGUGCCAGCAGCCGCGGUAAUACGGAGGGUGCAAGCGUAAUCGGAAUUACUGGGCGUAAAGCGCGCGUAGGCGGCGAGAUCAGUCGGGUGUGAAAGCCCCGGGCUUAACCUGGGAACUGCAUCCGAUACUGUCUAGCUUGAGUACAGUAGAGGAGAGUGGAAUUCCACAUGUAGCGGUGACAUGCGUAGAUAUGUGGAGGAACACCAAUGGCGAAGGCAGCUCUCUGGCCUGAUACUGACGCUGAGGUACGAAAGCGUGGGGAGCAAACAGGAUUAGAUACCCCCGUAGUC